GCCGUGCGCUAGGGAGGGACCAAGAGACCCAGGAACCCGAGGACUUAAGAAACUUGACUGGCAUCCAGCUGCCCAAUCAAUAGCUCCCUGGUUCCGAAGCCGCUACCGCGAGAAGGAGGGACAAGACCGCGUCAACAGAGAGGGUGGAAAGACGUGGGCACGAAGCCCCGAGGUGAUUGGCUGAAGGCACUUCCGGUGAGCAUCUCGACUUGACUUAGGCUCCUGUGGCGCCAAAAUGUCGCUCGUAGCGGGGGUUAUUCGGCGGUUGGACGAGACGGUGGUGAACCGCAUCGCGGCAGGGGAAGUUAUCCAGCGGCCGGCUAACGCCAUCAAGGAGAUGAUUGAGAACUGUUUAGAUGCAAAAUCCACCAGUAUCCAAGUGGUUGUUAAAGAGGGAGGCCUCAAGUUAAUUCAGAUCCAAGACAAUGGCACUGGGAUCAGGAAGGAAGAUCUGGACAUUGUGUGUGAGAGGUUCACUACAAGUAAACUGCAGUCCUUUGAGGAUUUAGCUAGUAUUUCUACCUAUGGCUUUCGGGGUGAGGCUUUGGCCAGCAUCAGCCAUGUGGCUCAUGUUACUAUUACGACCAAAACAGCUGAUGCAAAGUGCGCGUACAGAGCAAAUUACUCAGAUGGAAAGCUGAAAGCUCCUCCUAAACCAUGUGCAGGCAAUCAGGGGACCCAGAUCACAGUGGAGGACCUUUUUUACAACAUAUCCACAAGGAGGAAAGCUUUAAAAAAUGCAAGUGAAGAGUAUGGGAAAAUUUUGGAAGUUGUUGGCAGGUAUUCAAUACACAAUUCAGGCAUUAGUUUCUCAGUUAAAAAACAAGGUGAGACCGUGGCUGACGUUAGGACACUGCCCAGUGCCACAACGGUGGACAAUAUUCGCUCCAUCUUUGGAAAUGCUGUUAGCCGAGAACUGAUAGAAGUUGGGUGUGAGGAUAAAACCCUGGCCUUCAAAAUGAAUGGCUACAUAUCCAAUGCAAAUUACUCGGUGAAGAAGUGCAUCUUCUUACUCUUCAUCAACCAUCGUCUGGUAGAGUCAACUUCUUUAAGAAAAGCCAUUGAAACAGUGUAUGCUGCAUAUUUGCCCAAAAACACACACCCAUUCCUGUACCUCAGUUUAGAGAUCAGCCCCCAGAAUGUGGACGUCAACGUGCACCCCACAAAGCACGAAGUUCACUUCCUACAUGAGGACAGCAUCCUGGAGCGGGUGCAGCAGCACAUCGAGAGUAAGCUCCUGGGCUCCAACUCCUCCAGAAUGUACUUCACCCAGACUUUACUACCAGGUCUUGCUGGCCCCUCCAGAGAGGUGGUUAAAUCCACAACAGGUGUGACCCCCUCAUCUGCUUCUGGAAGUGGCGACAAGGUCUAUGCCCACCAGAUGGUCCGCACAGAUUCACGGGAACAGAAGCUUGAUGCCUUUCUGCAACCCAUGAGCAAGGCUCUGUCCAGUCAGCCUGAGGCCAUUGUUCCACAAGACAGGACCGAUGCUUCCAGUGGCAGGCCUGGACAGCAAGAUGAGGAAAUGCUUGAACUCCCAGAGCCUGCUCAAGCGUCUGCCACAAAUCAGGGCACAGAGGAAGAUGCAACAGAGGGGCCUUCAGAAACAUCAGAGAGGAGAGGGCCCCUUUCCAGCCUGGGCAACCCCAGAAAGAGGCCCCGGGAAAGCUCUGAUGUGGAAAUGGCGGAAGAUGAUUCCCGAAAGGAAAUGACAGCAGCGUGUACCCCUCGGCGGAGGAUCAUCAACCUCACCAGUGUGCUGAGCCUCCAGGAAGAAAUUAACGCACGGGGACAUGAGACACCGUGUCUUGAAAUACAACAACCUAGAUCAGCCCAUAAAGUCCUGAGCAGCCACGGAGCAGAAUCGCCUGGUGAGGGAGACAGGGCAGCUCUGUUAGCUGUUUUGAAGUUGAGGAGUGGAAGAUGGGGAGGACGGGAGAGGACAGCACUUCGAGAGAUGCUGCAGAACCACUCCUUUGUGGGCUGUGUGAAUCCGCAGUGGGCCUUGGCACAGCAUCAGACCAAGUUAUACCUUCUCAACACCACCAAACUGAGUGAAGAACUGUUCUACCAGAUACUCAUUUAUGAUUUUGCCAAUUUUGGUGUUCUCAGGCUCUCGGAGCCAGCACCACUGUUUGACCUGGCCAUGCUAGCCUUGGAUAGUCCUGAGAGUGGCUGGACGGAGGAAGAUGGUCCCAAAGAAGGACUUGCCGAGUACAUUGUUGAGUUUCUGAAGAAGAAGGCUGAGAUGCUCACAGACUAUUUCUCUUUGGAAAUCGAUGAGGAAGGGAACCUGACUGGAUUACCCCUGCUGAUCGACAACUAUGUGCCUCCUUUGGAGGGUCUGCCUAUCUUCAUUCUUCGACUAGCCACGGAGGUGAACUGGGAUGAAGAGAAGGAAUGUUUUGAAAGCCUCAGUAAAGAAUGUGCUAUGUUUUACUCCAUUCGGAAGCAGUACGUAUCUGAGGAGUCGACCCUCUCGGGCCAGCAGGGGGAAGUGUCCGGCUCCUCUGCAAACCCCUGGAAGCGGACUGUGGAACACGUUGUCUAUAAAGCCUUCCGCUCACAUCUUCUGCCUCCUAGACAUUUCACAGAAGAUGGAAAUAUCCUACAGCUUGCUAACCUGCCCGAUCUGUACAAAGUCUUCGAGAGGUGCUAACCACACUCACUUGUGGACUCUGGGCUGUGCGGUUCUUGCCUUGUGUCCUGAUGAGGAAGAGAAGAGAACAGUCAAUCACCUGUCAGCAGCUGUGACCUCAGGCAGUGACAACCUCUGCAGCCCAGGAGGGGACAGUAAAGUGGAAGGAGACGAACGCAAAUGCCCACGGGGUGGCCACAGCACCUCUGCAGCCUGGACUCCAGAAUGGCUCUCUUGCCAGAAGCUCUAACACCUGAUCCCAGCAUCCCUUGGACCAGGGAGUUGGAAGAAAAUGUGACUCUUUAUGCUAUGGUGUGGGGAGGCUGACCACUGAGGAGAGCCCUGUCAAUGCAUCAGUGGCCCCCGACAACCUUAUGUGCCGCCCUUCCCCCAGGAGCCUCCAGUUUCUCUCACCUUCCUUCCUUCCAGGCUCCCUUCUGCUGCCAUACCUCGAGGACCCUUCCUUGCCCACCUCUGACUCAUGUCCUCAGCAUGCCUCUACUUGGUCUCCUAUAACUUCACCUUCCCUGUCAUGUUUUUAAUGGCUUUUCUAAGAUGAUCAUGCCUUCUAAACACUGUGUACCUGAGGAGAGGGGCCAUGGCUCUGCCAUCCUUAGUCUACCUCUGUAUCUCACCAAGGGCUUUGGGCCUGUGCUUAAUAAACAUUUGCUCAAAGAAA